UACGUAGGGGGCUAGCGUUGUCCGGAAUCAUUGGGCGUAAAGAGCGUGUAGGCGGUUCAGUAAGUCUGCUGUGAAAGUCCAGGGCUCAACCCUGGGAUGCCGGUGGAUACUGCUGGGCUAGAGUACGGAAGAGGCGAGUGGAAUUCCCGGUGUAGCGGUGAAAUGCGCAGAUAUCGGGAGGAACACCAAUUGCGAAGGCAGCUCGCUGGGACGUCACUGACGCUGAGACGCGAAAGCGUGGGGAGCAAACAGG
rnacentral:rRNA from 1 species